CCUUUUUGUACACACCGCCCGUCACACCAUGGGAGUGGGUUGUACCAGAAGCAGGUAGACUAACCGAAAGGGGGUCGCCUACCACGGUAUGAUUCAUGACUGGGGUG
rnacentral:rRNA from 1 species